GGAUGUGAGGGUGAUCUGACUGUGACAUCUGUCACCCUAUUGAUCGACAGGGUUGAUUUGGCUGAUCCGGCUGGCUAGGUGGGUGUCCUCUUCCUCUCUCACUGCUCCACAUGCAUCCCUCCCGAAGCUGAGUGCUUGGUCGAAGAGGACGACCAUCCCUGAUAGACGAGGACCGGUCUUAGGUCAAAGGUAUAUGAGUAGCUGCACUCCCCUGCUAGAAACUCCAAACAAGCUCUCAAAUAACAAUAAUGAUAUUAAUGAUAAUAAAGUUCCAUCUUUAAAAAUAAAGGCAAAAAUUAUCAGUCUCUAAAUAUUACUCU
rnacentral:snRNA from 1 species